rnacentral:lncRNA from 1 species
UCGUCAGCUCUUCCCCACCACCGUUCGUUUUCUCCUGGUGACUUCUUUCGUUCAUUCCAAAUACCAAUUCAGAAUUUCAAAACCUCAAAUUACUAAUUUAAAAUUAAAAAUCUCUCACAAAAAUAAACAACCAAUUCAUCCCAAAUUUCAAAUCCUCCAAAUCAAUUGAGAGCAACUGAGAUUCAAGAAAGAACAAAAAAAAUAAAAAAUCAAGCAACUUCAUGAUUGAUCAGCAAAACAAAGUAACCAGAAUCCAACAAAUAAAAGAAAACAAAAACUGAACAAAUCAUGCUACUGAUUUCUUCAAUUCACCAAAUCAGAAAACGUACAAUAAAUAAAAAAACAAACGUUGUCGUCGCCGUCAGCGAGGCAAAGGAGAGAGGGAGAACCUUUCACGGAGGUUUCAAAGGUGUCGAAGUCGUCUCGCAGUUGAUGAAGGUCAGGGAAGAGAUGGAGGAGGUCGACGAGACCGUCACCCGCCGUCGUUUCUUCUUCUAGCUUUUCUUCAAUAUAUAAAAUUAAGAAUCUUUAUUUAUUAUUUUAAAGUUAAAUUUUUAAUGAUUUUAAUAUAUUUUUUACUGUUUUUUUUCCCGGUAAGUAACUUUCAAUUGCGG